rnacentral:tRNA from 2 species
AGCCCUAUGGUGUAAUUGGCAACACAGUUGGUUUUGGUCCAACUAUUCUAGGUUCGAGUCCUGGUGGGGCUGCCA